GUUUCGGUGAUGUCAGAGAGUUGUUGACGCUUCUCGUUUCGUGUGUUUGCAUUAAAAGAAUUGCCGAUAGAAUUCACAAUGCCACGUAGCGGUUAUAAAAAUCUAGUGAAUACAUCAUAUUUCGAACCACAAACAUUAGAGAUAGACAAGCGAUAUUCAAUUGAUGACGAUGAUGCAUUGGACGAAGUGCCGUUGUUCACACAAAAGAACAAAACAAUCAUCGAAAUUGACCCUCCCAGCUUACAUUUUGAAAAAGCACACAUACAACCAGAUCGAUCCUACACUAUGAGCAUUUUGCUUUUGACAUUCUGCAUCGUUUUCGGCACAUGGUGGAUUAUCGCUAGAUUCGGAUACAAUUUUUGAUUGAUUUUGUUUGAAAAUUUCAAAAUUAAUACGCUGAAACAACGAAGUUCAUUAUUUCAAUAUUUUCGUCAGUUGAGAGGGGGCGAAACAAAGUUUAAACAUUGAGGGAAUGGAAUAUGAAUAAAUCUUUUGCACUGAUGACAUUUAAAAAAAAUACAUUGUUUUAAUUACUUCAAAAGUUCGCAUGCUCUAAAUAGAACUGGUUAAAAAUAUAUGAAUAAAUGUUUAAAUUUGCUUUGAUUGGCUACUUUUACAUUCAUUGCUAAAGAUCGUCGCGGACGAACCAAAUAUACUGAUUAAAUAAACAUAGCCAUACUACUACAUGUAUAAGUCUAGCGGAUUGUAUGUUAUGGUUGUUUUAUAGAAGUGAUAAUAAUGUAAAUAUUUCGCAGUUGAACGCGUCGUUUAUUGCAAUUUGACUGAUUGGAGUGUGUGUCCGAAAAAAUGAUACAAUUACUUGAAUUUAAACACAUUGCGCAAUGGUUUUCGAGGAAAAAUAAAAUUUACUGAAUGUGAAACCAGAA